UACGUAGGGACCAAGCGUUGUCCGGAAUUAUUGGGCGUAAAGAGCUCUUAGGCGGCUGUCCACGUCGGGUGUGAAAGCUCAGGGCUCAACCCUGAGACGCCAUUCGAUACGGGACGGCUAGAGGUAGGUAGGGGAGAUUGGAAUUCCUGGUGUAUCGGUGAAAUGCGCAGAUAUCAGGAGGAACACCGGUGGCGAAGGCGGAUCUCUGGGCCUUACCUGACGCUGAGGAGCGAAAGCUGGGGGAGCAAACAGG
rnacentral:rRNA from 1 species